AAGAUUUGGAAAGAAAGCCGUCAAACCGCAUGCCCCUGAAUACAAAGGGGGCAAGGCGUUCAAGAUUGGUGAUUCACGAUUCGCAUUCACAUACGUUUCGCUUUCGCUGGUUCUUCAUGAGGAGAACCAAGAGAUCGUGUGAAAGUUUGAAUAUUUGGUUACUUCGAGACAGAUUGUUUGACUAGGUAUAAAAUAAAAAUAGAUGUAUGUGUUUGGUGUUAAGGCAAGCGCCUCGAUAAUAAAAGUAGAAAAUACUCCACAGUGUGUAAGAAUAACCAGCGUGAAUUGAGACACCGCUUGCCGCGCAUUUAAGGCGCGGCUUCGCAAAAUUCUCCCGCCAGAAUUCAAAAUUCCUUAAAAUUUUUCCUUAUUUUUUUUAUAUGCUUAAGUUCAGCGGGUAUUCCUACCUGAUUUGAGGUCAAACUUAAAGAGUACUGUUUACAGGGCUGCAAGCAAUGUUUUCAAUUCUCGCUGGGUAUCAGAGGACAACGUGCCGGAGUUGGUCUUUUAUUAUCGAGGCGCUUGCGCUUCAACACCAAAACACAAACAAUCUAUUUUCAAUGGCCCGCGGCCAACAAUUUCAAGUUAACUCAGAAAAACAGAGUGUCACUCACAACCAAAUACAAGUAUUUGAGAAGGAACAGAGAUGAAGAACGCAGCGAAACGCGAAAUGUCAAGUGAAUUGCAGAAUUCCGUGAAUCAUCGAAUCUUUGAACGCACAUUGCGCCCCUUGGUAUUCCAGGGGGCAUGCCUGUUUGAGCGUCAUUUCCUUCUCAAAUACUUGUAUUUGGUUGUGAGUGACACUCUGUUUUUCUGAGUUAACUUGAAAUUGUUGGCCGCGGGCCAUUGCAGCUAGUGUUAUUCUGCGUCUUUCGCAGGGGCACGGCAUGUCGUAUUAGGUUUUACCAACUCCGGCACGUUGUCCUCUGAUCCAAACGGAAGUAGUAGAGCAUUGCUUCAAGCCCUGGCAAACAGUACUCUUUAAGUUUGACCUCAAAUCAGGUAGAUGCCUCAU
rnacentral:rRNA from 1 species